AAGGAAUAUUGGGCAAUGGACGCAAGUCUGACCCAGCCAUGCCGCGUGGAGGAUGAAGGUCCUCUGGAUUGUAAACUUCUUUUAUCUGGGAAGAAAUCUAUUUUUUCUAAAGUAGUUGACGGUACCAGAUGAAUAAGCACCGGCUAACUCCGUGCCAGCAGCCGCGGUAAUACGGAGGGUGCAAGCGUUAUCCGGAUUCACUGGGUUUAAAGGGUGCGUAGGUGGGUUGGUAAGUCAGUGGUGAAAUCUCCAGGCUUAACUUGGAAACUGCCAUUGAUACUAUCAGUCUUGAAUACCGUGGAGAUGAGCGGAAUAUGUCAUGUAGCGGUGAAAUGCUUAGAUAUGACAUAGAACACCAAUUGCGAAGGCAGCUCGUUACACGAAUAUUGACACUGAUGCACGAAAGCGUGGGGAUCAAAC
rnacentral:rRNA from 1 species